ensembl:lncRNA
AUCUCAUACACAUUAUUAUAUGUGAGUCCUUUUUUGAAGUUUUACUGUACAUUUCUACAUAAUUAAAUUAUAAACUGUUAAAGCAUCUGAAUGCCACAGAGCUUUUGUUCACUAGAUGCACUGAAACUUCUCAUCAGUUCUGUACACUGAACUCUACCUUUUUGUAAAUUUCUGUUCUCAUAAAACGCAAAUCUCCAGUCAAGGUCUGGCUGCUCCCAUCGUCUGUUCAUUAUUGCUUACUGCUGCAGAACCCUCAAAAACGGAAAACAGGCAACUCAGAUUAUACUUUAUCUUAAAAGAUUUUGCUGAUCUCUACCACGAAUUCAUCAGGACUAAUGAGACAGAUAAGUAAAGGAUUUUGUUAUUACAUGCCAACUCCAUAAAGAUACUCUGGGGUAAGCGGAGAGGUGGUACAAUCUUUGUGUGUGAGUGAUGGGAAAGAGCUACCUGGUUACAAAUUCUGGUCCCACUGAAGUCGGCAGGGGUUCUGCCAUUUGCCUUCAACAAAGCAAAGGGUUUCACCAUGUGUUUAACAGGAAUAUUUUGCUGGAGUUGUUGUCAGCAUACUAGUAAACAUACAUUUUAAAAUUGACCAUCUUUUUCGCAUUUGAAUGUUUGUUCACCUUGCAUAUCCUUGAUGAAUAUUUGAUACAAAAAAUUCUCUUCGAUUUCAUUUUAUUUCAGGUAGGUUUUGAGUUUGUUCAUUUUUUUACUUCUUGUGCAUUUAGAGACCCCACGUGGCAGUGUCUGGGCUAAAAACACAGUAGGGGAAUGUUCACAUAUUUUGUAUUGCUGAGAUUUAAACUGAAUUAAAGAAAAACAGAAAUGAAAACAUUUGCAUUUGUUUAUGUAAUUUUAAAAAAUCACAUAAAGCUGGGCCCAAGCUAGCCGAGAAUAUCCCUGUAAUGAACACAGGCCUUUACCUUUUUGCAAGCACACUGUAACUGGAGAGGCGCACAUAUCAUAUCUACCAUAUCAACGACAUUUUAGAGUAUGUAAAAAAAACCCACUCUAUUUGUCUUAGGAAAUAUCGAAAACUUUUAUAGGGAAUUUGGAAAAUAUUUUUUGGCCAGCAUGAAAGGUGAAAUCCUGCAGCACGAAGUACAGACAUGGGCACAGAGACUGAACAGACGGGCUGCUGUAAAACAACCAUUUAAUAAGGCAUUAAAAUGCCAUCGACUUGGACACAUAAAAAAAAAAGCUAUGAAAACAAAUGCCUUUCAAAUAAUUAGGAUCUUAUGCUUGAGACCAGUGUUGAUCUCUAUGCAGAGAUUUUCCUGCUGAAAUCAGACCAGCCUAAGUCUGAUCGUCUAAGGAAGGAAUUAGCAGCGUAUAAAUCGGCUGCUGCUCGAGAUUUUUCUGUUUCUGCCAUACAUAACUAUUCAUUUAAAUGGCCACUUCAGACUUUCUAUCUCCUUCUUUCUGUUUCCUAGAGUAGUUUGAAACACAUUUGACUUAGUACGCCAGAAUAAUUUUUUAAUUGAAUCUUGAAUUUUUAUCAUGAGUAUGUGAAAGGGUUGAAUUACCAGCUCCUGCCCACACUGUGUAAGUGAAUCUGAGCCAAAUGCAGCCAGAAAUAGCAACAGAACCCAGUUCUGUUCUCCAAAACAUAGUGUGACUUUGCUUUCACUUGAAGUAAUAUGCCUGUGUAAGGAAUAGCAAUAGUCGGUAGUGAUAGCUGGUGUGUAUAAUGCAUCAAAAUGAUAUAAAUCUAUCCUUCAAUUUGAGAAUAAUUUUAUCACCUAUAAUGUAUGCAAAUACAAGAACAAGAAGCAGAGUUGACCGUUCAUGUCUAUGUAUUUACUCCUGGAUCACUGCUGUCACGGUAGUCCUUGUCUGGAUACCUCAGAAAAGAUGCUCUGGUUACAAAGAGCGUGUUCAAAACAACAGCAUCUGUGAUAA